GAAUAAAUAAUUUUGAACAGCAAUUGUAAGGUGUUUCUUCAGCUGAGCUGGCAGCAACAAGGAUAUGAGCUGGAAAUCUUAAUGAAGUACUGUUUUAACCUCUGAGACAAAGAUGCUUUCUUCAAGAAUUUGCCCUUGCCUCACUGAGAAACUCUUUGCUCCCAAACAGUGCAUCAUCG